AUUGAACGCUGGCGGCAGGCUUAACACAUGCAAGUCGAGCGGGGAAAGGUAGCUUGCUACCUGACCUAGCGGCGGACGGGUGAGUAAUGCUUAGGAAUCUGCCUACUAGUGGGGGACAACAUUCCGAAAGGAAUGCUAAUACCGCAUACGCCCUACGGGGGAAAGCAGGGGAUCUUCGGACCUUGCGCUAAUAGAUGAGCCUAAGUCAGAUUAGCUAGUUGGUGGGGUAAAGGCCUACCAAGGCGACGAUCUGUAGCGGGUCUGAGAGGAUGAACAGGCACACUGGGAGUAAGACACGGCCCAGACUCCGACGGGAGGAAGCAGGGGGGAAUCUGGCGCAAGGGGCGAAAGCCUGACGCAGCGACGCCGCGUGCGGGAAGAAGGCCUUCGGGGUGUAAACCGCUUUCAGGAGGGACGAAGCCGCUCGGGUUAAUAGCCUAGAGGGUGACGGUACCUCCAGAAGAAGCCCCGGCUAACUACGUGCCAGCCGCCGCAGUAAUAC
rnacentral:rRNA from 1 species